GAGAGAGAGAGAGAGAGAUGGAAGAAUGUACGGUUGACAAGACACUGAAGGGUAUUUAUAGCCAUAUAAAUAACCAUGAUAUUGUUCAAAUUCGAGUGAAUUUUAUAUAUAUCAGUCUUCUGCAUUGAUAUUCUGUCGGCUAACCCUCUCUUUUAAUUUGAAAUUCACUAUCAUUAUGGGAAUUUACGAAUUAUCCUAGCAGAUAUGGGGCAAUACAAUAAGGACAUAAGCAGAUAGAGAAUUCUUAAUAAAGCAAUACGUGUCAAGAUGAAGAGAAAUGAUCAGUUGGCUACAUACACACGCAGAGAGAGAGAAGGUAAUCUACUUCAAAUUAUCCAAACUCCGAAGGGUAUUUUUUUUAGGGGUAGGUAUGGUAUCAAUCCCAU
rnacentral:misc_RNA from 1 species